ACGACAGUGAUUACAUUUUUCUGAAAAUGAGGAGAUAGAUUCUGUUGAAGAUAAAAAACAUUCUCUAAUUUGAAAUAAACAGAAAGAGCUCGCACUUACUAAUUUCAGGGUAUUCUGUCUGCUGCAUCGAUGCCAUUCUGCAAAAUUUUCUGAUUUGCGUGUCUUGAUUUUUUGCAGAGUUUUUAUCGUCUUAACACAUACAAAACACUUUUAGUAUUUCAAGUGGUUGAAGUACACAGCGCAUGCGCUUGAGAUGUGACCUUCGCUGCCAUCUCGCACGUGUAAAUUUCAAGUGGUUGAAGUACACAGCGCAUGCGUUUGAGAUGUGACCUUCGCUGCCAUCUCGCACGUGUAAGUUAAAAAUUACCAUUGAAUAGUAUGACCUUGAAUAAUGAGGCGUGGGUAAGAUCGGUGCAGAAUCCUGCUGAGGGGAAUGAAGUGACAGUGUUCACACUGGCCUAAAACAAUGAACAAAAUCACAACUUAGAUUUUCUAAAGUCAUAUCUAACAUUGAAAUUGUAUUCCAAUUCAACUUACUCAAAAUCGGUCUAAUGGAGUUUUGUGUAGCCAUUUUAGCUGUUAGUUUUCUUUGCUGAUGCCUUCGCCGUUUACUGAUGACUUUGCCUGAGACUUUGACGUGAGUGCUUUUACAUAAACAAUAAACAUACCAAAUUGAUUUCGAAAUUUCUUAUAUUAAUUAUUUUGAAAAAACUAUCACCACGCUGAUUUUCUUUAUGCGUUUUUUUUCACCCAGCGCGUAAGGCAAUCGUUAAACUACUUUUCUUACAUUAGCAGUUACCAGUGAAAUUAAUUGGCGUUCUUGAGAUUGGUUUCUUUACGCAAUAAGUACUGAAUUUAGUACUUUUAUUUUAUGCUUGUACUGUUUUUAUUUUUCCAUAAAGGUUUAACACACAUAUGAUUUGGUGUAUGUAAACUGUAAGAAUGAUUUCAUAAGAAAAAUACUGAUUACGUUCCAUUUCAUAUACAGCGAUCUUGUACAUUGUUUUAUCCCCGGUUAAAUGGUUUAAAUGUAAAUGAAUGUAAAAUUUUAAAGCGACUAUGAGGAAAGACUUGUUAAAUUGUACAAGAAAUUUGCUUUAGUUAACAAAGUAGGUAUCGUCUUCUGUUUUCAGCACUUUCCGUCGAUCCCGAACGUUUAGCUUUAUCGUUAAAUGCUAAAGCCUACAUCAACGUGCCAUUAUCCAUGCGAAAAAAUUUCAUAAAUUGAAGAUUGUCCUAAUGUUAUCACACCCAUACUCAAAAGAAAUCGAAGAAAAGUGUUCUUCAUCCUGCAAAACUAAUUCUCGCUACAUAUCCGGCAAUUUUUGUGUUGUUUUUUUGAUGAUACUAAAAUGAGUAGCGCAGCAACUUAGCUAAGUUCUAAAAAAAUAAUGUGACCCGAUUUUGCCAAAACUUUAAAAAAUAAUUUGUGCAUUUACUUUCGAAUCUUACCCUGCUUCAAUCCAGCAGGUUGCCUAAGGACCGAAAUACUUUUCGAACAUUUGCGUUUCGAAUUUUGUGAAAUGUUAUAGAAGUCUCUUGUUCGAAGAAAUCACACUGUAAGAAAUGUGAAAACCAUGUUGCAUAAAUAGUUACAGCUACUUCCACAUCAAUUUAAGUUUCUUGCUAAAGUUAUGGAUAACAAACCAUAUAGGCAUGUGCAUGUAAAAUGUACGUAAAUUUUGUUUAGUGUAUAGUUAUAUUUAUAGUUAACCGCAGGCCGUUACGAAGGACAGGGUGUGCGGGCGCGCGACACACUCAAGUUAUAUUUUCGGCUAAAUAAGGCUUGUUUAAACAUGUACGUAAGCGUGAAAAAAAAACUAAAUCUUAUUUGUGUUGAAUAACCAUGUGGGUUUAGUUCUUUUCAGAAGACCACGCCGUAUAACCACACCCAUUUUCGAAAACUUUGAUUUUCAACUCUUCGACACGGCCUUUGGUUAAGUCAUACUCAAGCUUUCGUAUUUCAUAAUUAAUCUAAACUUUGGUUUCUCACUCCCAGGUUUUAUAUCGAAAACAAAAUGCCUUUGUUUCUUUCUUUCGCUUAUUUUUUAUUUGAAAUCAGAGUUAUUACUGUUUAGUUAAAGUGUGUUUUUUUUUAUCUAAGAAAGUUUUAUUGUUUUCAUUUUGUUUUGAAAUUUCAUGUUUCAUAUAAAUAAUAUGUGUUUGUCUAUAGUGUUAUUAGAUAUUGUAAAUGUAAAUGUCAUCAUCUCUUACUUACACUUGCAUUGAAAGUUUCCAAUAAUGGGAAAGUGUAAAUUUUCAAUCUUUAUUUUGUCUUGCUUUUUUUGUAAAAAUAGGCUGCCAGCGUGGAUUCGAUAAGCUGCGUGAUUUUACGCCUUUCGGCAUUUGCUUUGUUGUACGACAUUGAUAAAGUAGGUCAAGUUAAUAUUUUUGUCAAGUAAAGUAAUCAGUUUAAUGGACGGUUAAUCCCCUCAACAAAUAAAAAUGUUUUAGACAGUUGAUACCGAAGCGAAUCCACGUUUGAAGUCCAGCAUUGUAACACUGUAGAUAAAGUACUGUUUUUCAAAAAAUAUAUGUUAACAAAAAUA